AGGAAAUCCUGAAAACAUUACCUGUGAAAGACUAAGGAAAUCCUGAAAACAUUACCUGUGAAAGACUAAGGAAAUCCUGAAAACAUUACCUGUGAAAGACUAACGAAAUCCUGAAAACAUUACCUUUGAAAGACUAACGAAAUCCUGAAAACAUGACCUGUUUGGGGGACUUGAGGACCGCGCUAGAAAAACACUGUUGUACACCAUGGAGUCUAGUAACAUUUUUGCUGGAGAUUACUUCUUAUGUUGAUAUUCUAAAAAUCGUGAGUUCGUAGUAGGUAAAAAUACCUUAUAAUGGCUGAAUGAAAGAUGACGACAGAUCACAGCUUUCCCAACUACUUAUGAUCAUGGUCAAAAGUUUUAAAGGGAUAUUCAAGGAUUUUUUUUUAUUUGACAAUUCUAAAAGGUCUAUAAUGUUAGUGUAGUUAAUAAUAUAGUGUCUGUACCUGAGUGCGACGGUGGUCUCACGAUUCUUAUGUGAUUUUUGUCCCAAUGUUUCUUUUUAACAGCAUACAAAAUAAGUUUCGUCUCAGGUUUUCCCACGAGACAUGACAUCACUAGUCAGGUGAUCAGAGGGUAUGUCCAUUACUGUCUGGUAGACUUUUGCACUCAGGCUGGAUAUCAUCUUCUGGGGCCAAAUCCUGACUGGUGACCUCCCGUUCUUACCUCCUCACUGCUGGAACGGGUCGUCACAAUUGAUGUUGAUCACAAUUUCUGUGUUUUAUUUGUCCACCCCUUUUUUAAGGAUUCUCAAUGGGAUUUAGAUCCAGGGAGUUUUCUGGCCGUGAACCCAAAAUGUCAAUGUUUUUAUAUCUUUUUAUGCUUUGUGACGUGGUCUCCAUCAUGCUGGAAAAAGCCAUUUUCAUCACCAAAUGGCCCCUGAAUGGUUUGGAGAAGUUGCUCCUAGAGGAUGUUUAGAUACCAUUUUUUUUAUUCAUGGCCAUUAUUAAAGGGGUACUGCACAUUGUCCAUUUUAGGAACUGUCAAGGGUAGGAGCAAAUCCCCAUAGCAAACCUAUAAUACUCUGGACAGAGGUGUCAGCAGAGAGCACUGUGGUCAGACAGAAAGGAAAUUCAAAAAGAAAAUAACUUCCUGUGGAGCAUACAGCAGCUGAGAAGUACUGGAAGGAUUAAGAUUUUUUUAAUAGAAGUAAUUUACAAAUCUGUUUAAUUUUCUGUCAUCAGUUGAUUUAAAAAAUAAAAUAAA